GACGAACGCUGGCGGCGUGCCUAAUACAUGCAAGUUGAGCGCUGAAGGUUGGUACUUGUACCAACUGGAUGAGCAGCGAACGGGUGAGUAACGCGUGGGGAAUCUGCCUUUGAGCGGGGGACAACAUUUGGAAACGAAUGCUAAUACCGCAUAAAAACUUUAAACACAAGUUUUAAGUUUGAAAGAUGCAAUUGCAUCACUCAAAGAUGAUCCCGCGUUGUAUUAGCUAGUUGGUGAGGUAAAGGCUCACCAAGGCGAUGAUACAUAGCCGACCUGAGAGGGUGAUCGGCCACAUUGGGACUGAGACACGGCCCACACUCCUACGGGAGGCAGCAGUAGGGAAGCUUCGGCAAUGGACGAAAGUCUGACCGAGCAACGCCGCGUGAGUGAAGAGGGUUGUCGGAUCGUAAAACUCUGUUGGUAGAGAAGAACGUUGGUGGGAGUGGAAAGCUCAUCAAGUGACGGUAACUACCCAGAAAGGGACGGCUAACUACGUG
rnacentral:rRNA from 1 species